CCCUCCGCUCGAGAGGGAAUCGCUGCAGCCCGUUCCCAGGUCCAGCCCACUUGGGUUUGGGAAGGAAGGAAGGAAGGCCUUCACACCGGUCUGGAGCAGCAGGAACAGUGAGCGAUCCAGAUGCCCACAGCCGACCACUCCGACCACCCAUCCUGCCCAGCCAUCUCAGACGUGUAAGCAAGUGGCAGAGAAGCCCAUGGAGGGGCUCUAAAGCGACUGAGAGUUAACCCCCCACCACACAGAUCAGAGGCCAGCCUCCUCCAUCUUCCAUGCAUCUGUCAGCAGCUUCAGACGGCAGGAGGCUGGAUGGCCUGAGGAAUCGGGAGAGGGAGGCACUUCCCACCUCUGGAAAUUUGAGACUGGCAGCAGUAGGAAGCCUGAGUGCCAGCCCAGCCCCAUAGCCUCCCAACGGAUGCUGGCCACCCUCUAACAGCAGCGCCGACUCAGCGGCCUCCCGGACGGGCAGCACAUGCUCCGUUAAUCCACAGCACCCCCGUGAAAGCCCCUCAACUCGUGGCUCUCAUGGCCUCCAGCAUCAACCGCGGCUGGACUCUGUCGCCUUCUCUGCCCCCGGAACUUGAGGCUUCCCAGGAGGGAUUAUCAACCUCGCCUGGGGGGGGGGGCUCUUGCCACCUUCCCCUCCCCACCUCGAGCAGCAAAUCAAGAAGUUGCUGCAAGUGACAAACAGAGAAGCUUUUGUUUUAAUGUCUGCAUUUAUUAUUUUCAAGCACUGGGCUCUGGUGAUGGUUGCACUAGAAACCAAGAAACUUAACUCUGUGAUUCUGUGGGAAAAAGAGAAAUCAAACAACAA